CGUUAAAGUCACAACCAUCAAGCUAAAACACACAGCAUACCUAACAAAAGAGAAAAUCAAAUAAAUCAUUAAAUGCUCAGAUUUUCGUGUCAUGCUUCGCGAAGUCGUUAUGACUUCCAUCUCUGAGGGCAGAUACAGAUUUCAGACAACCCAUGUGGAAUGACUAGAUUAGAUAUAAAUAAUGACAAUUCGCUUACGCACAUUUCUAGCUUGCCAAACCAUGAUA
rnacentral:lncRNA from 1 species